rnacentral:snoRNA from 2 species
CUCUCCAUCAAAGGCAUGUCUGUGGUUCCCUGUCUUUGGACAUGUAAGAAUUAGAGGCAAAGAAAUGUGGAUUGAGGAAUCUGGAGCCUGCUUGUUCCCUGCAGGACUCAAGAUCCACUAUCCCAUAUAG